UCCAUCAUCAACUUCACUUUCUCUAUUAAUCCAUUGCUUAAUAAAUCUAUCUAUUCAUAUAAUCCUCAAUCCUCCAUUCACAACUUUGCUAUACCCCAGUUCAUCAAACUUACCACACAUUAUGAGUUCAGGAACUUGCCACAAUCAUAUGAGUUUAAGAACUUAUCCUAGUCAGACCAUAGACGUCCAUUCGCUAAGGGGUUCAAAACAUACCAUAUGAUUAUGAGU
rnacentral:lncRNA from 1 species